CGCGAAUAGCUCAUUACAACAGCUAUAAUUUACUUGAUCUUGACAACCUACUUGGAUAACUGUGGUAAUUCUAGAGCUAAUACAUGCACCAAAGCUCCGACCGUAAGGGAAGAGCGCAUUUAUUAGAACAAAACCAAGCGGCUUCGGCCGUCCAAUAUUGACUCAGAAUAACUAAGCUGAUCGCAUGGUCUUGUACCGGCGACGUGUCUUUCAAGUAUCUGCCUUAUCAACUUUCGAUGGUAGUGUAUCUGACUACCAUGGUGAUGACGGGUAACGGAGGAUAAGGGUUCGACUCCGGAGAAGGGGCCUGAGAAAUGGCCACUACGUCUAAGGAUGGCAGCAGGCGCGCAAAUUACCCACUCUCAGAACGAGGAGGUAGUGACGAGGAAUAACGAGACCGUUCUCUUAAGAGGCCGGUCAUCGGAAUGGGUACAAUUUAAACCCUUUAACGAGUAUCUAUGAGAGGGCAUGUCUGUCCAGCAGCCGCGGUAAUUCCAGCU
rnacentral:rRNA from 1 species